GAGCAGAAAGGGGAGGCAUUGUUAGCUGGAUUACGUACCAGACAGAGACAGUUAUAAAACACAGAGAGGGAGGGUUGAGCAACAAUCUAUGACAUCAUCGUAAAGAUAUGAGAAACAGGAAGUGGUUUCCAUGGAGGCUUGAAAAUCCCCACCAUGUGGGUGUAAAGCUAAACAGUCCCUUUUUCUUUAGCCAAACUAAACCACCGUAUCAAACUUUAUACAGUCACUAAAGUCUCUCUUAGGAGAAGUCGGGUCACUUGGGAUUAUCAAAGAAUCCUAUUUGUUUAUAUGGGGAGUCAUCUAUGUGUAAGAUUCGGACAUAUAAUUACUGUUUUAAUUUUAUAUUUAGGAACACUGAUGAACUUUAUACACCUUACAAUCUUUUCAUGGCACAGUGUUGUCACAGAAUACAACUUUUUUUCACUUGUGCUUGUACGUAUGUGCAAACCACUGUCUCAAAAAAAACACGGAGAUUGUGACAUUCAAAAGUCUGGUCUGGUUCAUGUCGUUGCCAUGGUUUCAACAAAAAAGUCAUGGUAUGCAUGUAGACCACAGGAAAGUACUGAGAGUACCAUGUUGUUACACUGUAAUUUCUUAAAAAAUGCUUUGAUGUGGGAGCUGUAAAAAAACUGACAGUAUUGAGGUGAACAGGCAGUCUCAUUGAGAUUAACAUCACUUUUCCAAGAGAGACCAAGAAUAUUCAAAAGAAUACAAACAACAAACAGAAUCAACACAAUAAACAAGGUAAUUAAUUUAAACAGUUACAAGUUACAUUGAAAAGUUCAGUAAGACUGUAGUUUGAGGGCAGUUUGCAGUUCAUUCCAUUUAACAGGUGCAUAGUACCUGAAACCAGUUCUGCCAACAUUAGUGCGUACAUGGGGGAUAUCUAAAGUUAGGUAGUUACUGGAUCAUGUACUGUGGCUACUAAAUUUAAAUGAGAGAAGAGAUGUGAGGUAGUUUGGAAGCUUCAGCAGUAGAGCUUUAUAGAUGAAUAACAAUGUAAUAAUGAGAUGGCUAUUUCUUCUUGACUUUAAGGAACUCCAUGCAACUGUGUGAUACAGAGAACAAUGAUGAGUACGAAAUCUGUCAUUUGUAAUAAGCGUAAAGCACUGUGAUACACAGGAUUUAACUGCUGAAGUGUUGAUGGGGCAGCAUGGCAAUAAAGUAUAUCUCCAUAGUGAAGGACAGACAUGAAGGUUGACAAUAGUCAUCAAACUAACAGAGGUAUAGAAAAAACUUGUCAAUGGGAUAACAAGACUAAAUCCUGGGACAGCUGUUUAAAGAAGGCUACCUCUGAAAUCCUCCACACAACUCGUUGGCUUGUGGUUGGUAUUUUCCACAUGGUCAACUACAGUGGACACAUUCAGUCCAUAGGCAUCAUGUUAAAAAUGACCUAUAUAAUCUACAGUGACAGUGAUAUAAGCCAGUUGUACUCUGCAGUCAACCAGGAGCAUUCUUUAGCCAGGGAUUUGGCUAAAUGCUAAACUGGGUGAAAGAGCAUGAAUUUAUGACCUUUCCUUCAUCUGAACUCUAAUCUCAAAUCAUGUGUGGCUACAGCACGUUUGCUCUGACACUACCAUGAAAAUGUAGUGCAUUUACAUGUACAUGUAGUUACUUAACACACUUUAGGGUUAUUCAGUGUGACCCUUCGAGACAUUUUGAAUGCACAACAACAACAAAAAAAAGGAAGUCAUGUUUGUCUACAGAUUAACAUAGGAAGUGAUAAAACAGCACAUCCUAUACUUUAGGUCACAUUUGUAGUGUGAGGUACUUCUGUACAUUAAAACAAGUUAAAAAAAUAUUGCAUUUAAGUUGCAAUUGCAUCUGAGUGAGCUUGAAAACUCUUAAACCAAAAGAUCUCGCACUUAAAUCCUCAAUAAAAUAAACAUGUAUGUCACUGCUGAGGCCAAUUUCAAUACGUAAUAUAUUUCUAAAAAGCCAAAGAAUGAAUUGGCAGCAUUGUGCUGGAAAGUCGGUAUCACAUUGUGAAGAUGGGGCCUCAGAAAAAAAGCAAAUAAAAUCUAUGAGGCAUCGGGGUGGUCUCUCUGCAUGGCAAAUAUAAAGCAUUCAAUGCACAAAGAGAGCUGUGCUGACAGUAUCUCUCUUUUAU